GUAUGGGACCGUGCCGUCGACCUGCCGGAACGGCCGUCGGUAUCGGGAUUCAAAACCUUAGAAAAAAAUAAAAUACAUUAUAAUUUGUAAUGCAAGUCAUAGAGAGGUAGUGAUAAUUUAAUAUAAAAUCAAAGAUGAUAGCUUAGUAUAAAAAAUUAAGGCCAUGACCACUACCAUACAGGUACAAUGUGGAUGCAAUAUACCUGCAAAAAGUAAUCUUAUAUACA
rnacentral:lncRNA from 1 species